GUAACCUACUUUUUUUGUUUUAAUUAAUGUCACAUUUAUUUUCCAUGGAAAACAUGGAUAGCAGUCAGCAACCAAAACACUCAUACACGCGGUACCAUAAACAGGAGUGUUUAUAGAGUAAGAUAAAAAUAAAUGCAAUCAUAAAAUGUACAAAUCUAAAAGUAGAUUACCCUGAUAGUGUUAUAGUGGCGGCAAUAAAGUACAUAAAAACAGAGGCCGCUUCCUGAUGUAUAGAUGUACAGAGCACAACAGUGACCAACCGCUUAAGGCCUUGGUUCUGGAAGUCUCUUCCCUAUUCAUUUUCCCACUUAAAAAAAAAUACAAACAUUGCAAUAAAGAAUAAUGAAAAAUAAUUGAACCAAAUAUUCCAUCUUAAAGAAAAAGGGGGGGAAAUAAUAAUAAAUGGAGCAAUUCCAAGCGGGCCCUUGCACCAUGGUAUGGUGCAUAUGGAAUGAACUUAUUGCUGAUUUGAAGAUAUAAAAUCGAUCAGCU